rnacentral:rRNA from 1 species
UGUCGGUAAAACUCGUGCCAGCCACCGCGGUUAUACGAGAGGCCCAAGUUGACAGACAUCGGCGUAAAGAGUGGUUAAGGAAUUCUUGAAACUAAAGCCGAACGCCUUCAAGACUGUUAUACGUUUGCCGAAGGUAAGAAGCCCCACUACGAAAGUGGCUUUA